AUGCCUACCCUGCAGAAACCACUAGCUAUUCAAAUUAGACAGUAUUAUUAACACGUCUGUUCUAGCAGAAACAUUUGGGUUCCUCAAACAGUGCACUGGCGAAUCGCACGCUUCCUCGUCCACUUUUACGAGCUCGCUUUGACAGGGAAGGACAUUUUACAUUAGUAAUUUCACUGCAUUUAUUGCAUUAUUCUUUGUAUUGACAUUUGUGACGUGAUAAUGUUUACCUUUGUUUCUUUAGCAUGAGAGCGGAAAAACAGAUGAGAAACAUAAAGCGUUCUAAUCUGAACAAAAACGUCACUAUUUCCACAGCUAAGGCACAAAGGCAAGCAAUACUCAUUCCGUGACUUUGGAGAUUACUGCAGAGAGCAGAUCCUUGCCAGGAGACCUGCACUACUUCUCUUAGAGGAUGACAAGGAGAGGAAUUUGAUCCAUCUGGUGUGGAGGGGGAAAGAGAGGUGAAGUGCCCUUUGACCUUUUGAAGGACAGGGAAGCAGUUUCAUAUCUCAUGCUCCUCGGUCGUGCUUGUUUGAUCUGGACUUACCUCAGUUCACACGUCUCAGCUUCUGCCCUACAAGUGGAGGAAUGUGUGUAACAAUUAACUUAUUGGAAGAACACAAACAGCACUGAAAAAAAAGUUUUAUAGCAGCCGAGUGAAAACAUAAUAGGCUUGAAUACCUGAGAUGGUUGAGGUCACCAGCAAAUACUAUGACAUGUCAUGUGACAGAAUAUCUGCAUGAAGCCCACCUGCAUAGGAAUGACAAAAGGGACCACCAAGCUUAAAUGCAUGUUUCCAUGGAAACCAGCUGAAGGCUGAGUGCACUGACUUUAAAUGCCUGCAUAGACAUUACAGCCUGAGUCAGUGGACUAGCAGCGCACAGGCCUUUCCUCUUUAGGCAUUAGCUGUCGAGACCGGAAUUGUACUUCGCACAGAUGGUUCAUCGUUCGUGGGAUGAUGGGAUGACCAAAAAUAUGUCAGGCUCCCUAACCAAAGCCAUAAACUUAGGCUGCAAAACACUUGGGAAAAUAACAUCAUUGUAGGAGCCUCACACUGCACGCACACAUUGCUGAAUGGUUUCACAUCAGUUUGCAUUAAGAAACAGUUGAUUGUUCAGUUUGGGUGGGAUCGUGAAAAUGUACUUACUAGAGUAAUUACAAUUACUGAGUAAUAACUAGGUACUAACCCUGAACCUACCCCUAAAGCUACCCCUAACCCAUGUACUUAACAUAUAUUCGCCAGUACUUUCUAGGUAAGUAAGUACACUGUAAGUACUGUAGCCUGUAAAGGGAAGCGUGUCAAACUUUAUGCUAGUUUUUAAUAAGCAAAUAGCAAGUAAUUAUACUUUACCAUAUUUUAACAUAGGAUUUAUCUCUCUGCAGUGAUACGCAGGUCCUAGUAGGGGCUCAUGUGAGAUAUUUGUGAUAGAAAGGCAAAUUUGGUUUAUCCAGCAUUCUGUUUUUACAAUAUCAGCAUUGAAUCUGGGGUUCUCACAAUAGUUGUGAAAGAGCUGACUUCCAAAUCCAACAUACACUUUAUAUUUCAAAAUAUUAUGUACAAACUUUUAUCAAGGACAGUGUUACAAUGACAUUUUAUGAGCAACACUUUUUUAUUCAGUGCCU